rnacentral:rRNA from 1 species
GGGGAUAGGGUGCUUGCACCUGAUUCCUAGCGGCGGACGGGUGAGUAAUGCUUAGGAAUCUGCCUAUUAGUGGGGGACAACGUUCCGAAAGGGACGCUAAUACCGCAUACGUCCUACGGGAGAAAGCAGGGGAUCUUCGGACCUUGCGCUAAUAGAUGAGCCUAAGUCGGAUUAGCUAGUUGGUGGGGUAAAGGCCUACCAAGGCGACGAUCUGUAGCGGGUCUGAGAGGAU